AAAUUGAAGAGUUUGAUCAUGGCUCAGAUUGAACGCUGGCGGCAGGCCUAACACAUGCAAGUCGAACGGUAACAGGAAGAAGCUUGCUUCUUUGCUGACGAGUGGCGGACGGGUGAGUAAUGUCUGGGAAACUGCCUGAUGGAGGGGGAUAACUACUGGAAACGGUAGCUAAUACCGCAUAACGUCGCAAGACCAAAGAGGGGGACCUUCGGGCCUCUUGCCAUCGGAUGUGCCCAGAUGGGAUUAGCUUGUUGGUGGGGUAACGGCUCACCAAGGCGACGAUCCCUAGCUGGUCUGAGAGGAUGACCAGCCACACUGGAACUGAGACACGGUCCAGACUCCUACGGGAGGCAGCAGUGGGGAAUAUUGCACAAUGGGCGCAAGCCUGAUGCAGCCAUGCCGCGUGUAUGAAGAAGGCCUUCGGGUUGUAAAGUACUUUCAGCGGGGAGGAAGGGAGUAAAGUUAAUACCUUUGCUCAUUGACGUUACCCGCAGAAGAAGCACCGGCUAACUCCGUGCCAGCAGCCGCGGUAAUACGGAGGGUGCAAGCGUUAAUCGGAAUUACUGGGCGUAAAGCGCACGCAGGCGGUUUGUUAAGUCAGAUGUGAAAUCCCCGGGCUCAACCUGGGAACUGCAUCUGAUACUGGCAAGCUUGAGUCUCGUAGAGGGGGGGUAGAAUUCCGUGUGUAGCGGUGAAAUGCGUAGAGAUCUGGAGGAAUACCGGUGGCGAAGGCGGCCCCCUGGACGAAGACUGACGCUCAGGUGCGAAAGCGUGGGGAGCAAACAGGAUUAGAUACCCUGGUAGUCCACGCCGUAAACGAUGUCGACUUGGAGGUUGUGCCCUUGAGGCGUGGCUUCCGGAGCUAACGCGUUAAGUCGACCGCCUGGGGAGUACGGCCGCAAGGUUAAAACUCAAAUGAAUUGACGGGGGCCCGCACAAGCGGUGGAGCAUGUGGUUUAAUUCGAUGCAACGCGAAGAACCUUACCUGGUCUUGACAUCCACAGAACUUUCCAGAGAUGGAUUGGUGCCUUCGGGAACUGUGAGACAGGUGCUGCAUGGCUGUCGUCAGCUCGUGUUGUGAAAUGUUGGGUUAAGUCCCGCAACGAGCGCAACCCUUAUCCUUUGUUGCCAGCGGUCCGGCCGGGAACUCAAAGGAGACUGCCAGUGAUAAACCGGAGGAAGGUGGGGAUGACGUCAAGUCAUCAUGGCCCUUACGACCAGGGCUACACACGUGCUACAAUGGCGCAUACAAAGAGAAGCGACCUCGCGAGAGCAAGCGGACCUCAUAAAGUGCGUCGUAGUCCGGAUUGAGUCUGCAACUCGACUCCAUGAAGUCGGAAUCGCUAGUAAUCGUGGAUCAGAAUGCCACGGUGAAUACGUUCCCGGGCCUUGUACACACCGCCCGUCACACCAUGGGAGUGGGUUGCAAAAGAAGUAGGUAGCUUAACCUUCGGGAGGGCGCUUACCACUUUGUGAUUCAUGACUGGGGUGAAGUCGUAACAAGGUAACCGUAGGGGAACCUGCGGUUGGAUCACCUCCUUACCUUAAAGAAGC
rnacentral:rRNA from 1 species